rnacentral:rRNA from 1 species
UACGUAGGGUGCGAGCGUUGUCCGGAAUUAUUGGGCGUAAAGAGCUCGUAGGCGGUCUGUCGCGUCGGUUGUGAAAACUUGGGGCUUAACCCUGAGCUUGCGGUCGAUACGGGCAUGACUGGAGUUCGGCAGGGGAGACUGGAAUUCCUGGUGUAGCGGUGAAAUGCGCAGAUAUCAGGAGGAACACCGGUGGCGAAGGCGGGUCUCUGGGCCGAUACUGACGCUGAGGAGCGAAAGCGUGGGGAGCGAACAGG